rnacentral:rRNA from 1 species
UACGGGGGGGGCUAGCGUUGCUCGGAAUCACUGGGCGUAAAGGGUGCGUAGGCGGAUUGCUAAGUCAGGGGUGAAAUCCUGGAGCUCAACUCCAGAACUGCCUUUGAUACUGGCGAUCUCGAGUCCGGGAGAGGUGAGUGGAACUGCGAGUGUAGAGGUGAAAUUCGUAGAUAUUCGCAAGAACACCAGUGGCGAAGGCGGCUCACUGGCCCGGUACUGACGCUGAGGUGCGAAAGCGUGGGGAGCAAACAGG